rnacentral:rRNA from 1 species
GGAUUAGAUACCCUGGUAGUCCACGCCGUAAACGAUGUCUACUAGCUGUUCGUGGUCUUGUACCGUGAGUAGCGCAGCUAACGCAUUAAGUAGACCGCCUGGGGAGUACGGUCGCAAGAUUAAAACUCAAAUGAAUUGACGGGGGCCCGCACAAGCGGUGGAGCAUGUGGUUUAAUUCGACGCAACGCGAAGAACCUUACCUACUCUUGACAUCUACAGAACUUAGCAGAGAUGCUUUGGUGCCUUCGGGAACUGUAAGACAGGUGCUGCAUGGCUGUCGUCAGCUCGUGCCG